GACGAACGCUGGCGGCGUGCUUAACACAUGCAAGUCGAACGGAAAGGCCCUGCUUUUGUGGGGUGCUCGAGUGGCGAACGGGUGAGUAACACGUGAGUAACCUGCCCUUGACUUUGGGAUAACUUCAGGAAACUGGGGCUAAUACCGGAUAGGAGCUCCUGCUGCAUGGUGGGGGUUGGAAAGUUUCGGCGGUUGGGGAUGGACUCGCGGCUUAUCAGCUUGUUGGUGGGGUAGUGGCUUACCAAGGCUUUGACGGGUAGCCGGCCUGAGAGGGUGACCGGCCACAUUGGGACUGAGAUACGGCCCAGACUCCUACGGGAGGCAGCAGUGGGGAAUAUUGCACAAUGGGCGGAAGCCUGAUGCAGCAACACCGCGUGCGGGAUGACGGCCUUCGGGUUGUAAACCGCUUUCGCCUGUGACGAAGCGUGAGUGACGGUAAUGGGUAAAGAAGCACCGGCUAGCUACGUG
rnacentral:rRNA from 1 species